rnacentral:rRNA from 1 species
UACGGGGGGGGCAAGCGUUGUUCGGAAUUACUGGGCGUAAAGAGCUCGUAGGCGGCUUGUCGCGUCGGAUGUGAAAGCCCGGGGCUUAACCCCGGGUCUGCAUUCGAUACGGGCAGGCUAGAGUUCGGUAGGGGAGAUCGGAAUUCCUGGUGUAGCGGUGAAAUGCGCAGAUAUCAGGAGGAACACCGGUGGCGAAGGCGGAUCUCUGGGCCGAUACUGACGCUGAGGAGCGAAGGCGUGGGGAGCGAACAGG